rnacentral:rRNA from 1 species
UACGUAGGGUGCAAGCGUUGUCCGGAAUUAUUGGGCGUAAAGAGCUCGUAGGCGGUCUGUCGCGUCUGCUGUGAAAUCCCGGGGCUCAACCCCGGGCUUGCAGUGGAUACGGGCAGACUAGAGUUCGGUAGGGGAGACUGGAAUUCCUGGUGUAGCGGUGAAAUGCGCAGAUAUCAGGAGGAACACCAGUGGCGAAGGCGGCCUUCUGGACCAGUACUGACGCUCAUGCACGAAAGCGUGGGGAGCAAACAGG